CCCGAGCAGGCGCGGCGGUCGCCGGCCUCCCUGCGGACUCUGACCCCGCGACGGCGCCGCGGCCGCUUUCGGCCCCCAGCCCCCUCCGCUGCCCUCCUCCGGGCCCUCUCCCGCAAAGGUUCCGAGAGUCGCCCGAAGCUCCCGCCAGCGGAGCAGGAUCAGGAAGAAAAGCAUCUCCCUGUCCUGGGAUGGGCUCACCAGAUGUUCCCCAGAUGUUUGCUGAUGAUGAGAAACAUCUUCCUCUGGGAUCACAAACUCCCUAAUAUUGAACCACCUGCACUACUAGAAUGAACUUACUUGGAUACAAUGGAUGAUUCUUUGAAGGUCAUGAGCUGAUGAAGUCGAUUAAAAUGUACUUGUGUCUUAUCCAAAUUUGUUUGCAUUUGCUGUAUGUAUAUUGUUAUUCUCAACUCAUAGCCUAUUCUUGAUUUUGAAGCCUGUGCUAUUUGGUGCCUAAAGAUUUCCAAAAACUAGAUUCUUAAUGUCUCUCAUGUUUAACUUCCUUUUCUCUAAAUUAGCAAUUUUGUUUUGAAUCUGACCUUGACUUAUGGUAACCGUUCCUCUGGAGGAAGAAAUGGCAACCCACUCCAGUAUUCUUGCCUGGGAAGUCCCAUGGACAGAGGAGUCAGGCAGGUUGCAGUCCAUGGGGUUGCAAAGAGUCAGACAUGACUGAGCAACUGAGCACAUAUGCAUGAUGGUCAUGCUGUAGUCUCAAGAGUAUUUUCUUGUAUACCUUGGUUUAUAUUUUAACUUUUCUGAGUUACUUUGAUAAAGAUGUAUCUCUUCUAUAUCACAUACUAUAGAACACUGUUUUAUGAUCUGAUGAGAGAAUCUUUUUUUUUUUAAGGAUGGGUUUAUCCUUGUUUACAUUUCUUGAUAUAACAUGUAUCAUGCUUACUUAUGUCAUCUUAUCUUCUGCUGUGUUUCCUAUUUUAAUGCUUCCUCUGUUUUCUAUGUUUUACAUGUGUAUUUUUUUUUGUUUUCUUUGAUGUGUGUGUGUGUAUGUGUGUGUGUGUGUGUGUGUGAGCACACAUGUGUUUGUAUUUUGGUCUGAUGAUUUGAAGGUUUAUAGUCUGUUUUUAAUUUUUCCACUGCUUGUCUUUAUAUUGAUUUAUUUCUCUGCCAAGAGAAGAAAACCUUUAAAUGUAGGGAAAGAGUCAUAUUCUCAAAGGGCUGAGGCUUGCCACCAUAGUUCUGUCUUCGAAUUCUUGAUAUCCCCAGAAACAAACAAAAAACAAAACAAAAUUCUUAACAUUCUCAACAUGAAAAAUGGUGAUAAGUCUCGCCCUGAAACCAAAGGUUCAGGAUAAUCAAAAUCUGAGUGUGCCACUGAGAUGCUUCUUGAGUGAACCAGCCACCUACAGCAAAGAGCUAUCGGCGCCACAAAGGGAUGAUGUAUCUCAUCUCUUAUUUCAAAACCUCAUGUGAAUAUCUUACCCUCAACAGCCAGCAUACUUAGUUCAACAGUGUCUUUUACUUUCUGUCCAUGUCUCCGCAGUCUUCUGAAAAGGCAGUUGGAGAGGCAUGAAUGGAGGGCAUUGACUCUUCUUGCUAUUUGUUUCUGCACAUAUCGAGAUCAGGAGCCAGAUUGUUGCCUGACAGCUGGUCUUUGUGAAUAUAGUCGUGUGUGGUUGGUGUUCAGAUGCAAGUUGUGUGUGUGUUUUCUUUUAAAUCUCAUCAGUUAGCGUACCAAGAGAUAAUGGCACACUCAAAACAGUAUCAUUUUAGGGAAGCUUAUUUACAAAGGGACUACUUACAAGCAUGUGGGUGUAGGAGCACCCCAAGGGAUGGUGCAGUAACCUGGAUGAGCAGCAGCAGAGCUGUUACUACCAAUAAGUCUGAAGGUGGGCUCCAGGGGGUUACUAUAAGGGAGAGAACUGGGUAGGCUGGCUGCCGUGGGAAGACCAGUGGCCCCCCACUAGAGGAUACAUCCAACCCACAGAGACUCACAGGCAGGAAACCAAAGGACUAAAUGCCUUGAUCUCUUUCUCUUCCCUCUCCUUUCUCUGCUGGGCCUCACCAUGGCUGAACCCAACUGGAAGCCAGAAGCUGAGUCAUUUAAUCUUGCAAAGGAAUUCAGUGAGAAAUAGAACAAAAAGUCAGCAGGUACAUUUCCCUCCUGUGUUUUUGGAAGAUAUGUGGCCAGCCUGACACAUUAGUAGUGCACCCAAUAGGAAUGCUUUCAUUGAUCAAUAAUCCACUACCAUUUACUUGUGUACUGUAAUGGGAAGGUUGGAAGGUGGUAGCCACUGACAUAAUGUCAGUACUGGUGUCUCUAGAAUUCUCUCAGCUUUUAACUUAAGCUGGUUGCUUCAUAUUUGCAAGGCAGCUGCCCAAGCAUCAUGACCAUGGUUAAGUUAGGAAGAAAGGGGGAGGCGGGGGAUACCAGCAUGUAUAUCCAUUUUCUGAAAAAAACAAAACCAAAACUUUUUAUAGAAAUACCCUCAGUAGACUUGUCAUCAUAUUUCAUUGACUAGAACCGGAUCUCAUGUAACAGUAAGGGAGAUUGGGAGAGUGGAAAAUGGGCUGGUCACGGUUGAUUUAGACCACUUGUAAUUAAUUGCCUGAGAUUGGAGACCUUGGUGCAUGGAUCAAAAUCAGGAAUCUGUUAUUAGGAAAGAAGGGAUGGAAUAAAUUUCUGGAUCAACAAUGAACAAGGCUUGCCACAAGUGGUUUGUAUUCAACAAUAAAGCCCAUUGUCUGCUAGCACUCACUCCGGACAGCCAUUGCUCUUUCACACUAUGUGCCAUUGAUUUUAUGUGACAUCCAAAAAUGUUGUUUGAUCAAGUAAUUUUGCCAGGAGCUUGCUCUGCUUUUCCUCAGUAGCCUACGACUCAGUUUACAAGUCAUGGCUUGAAUUGUGUUCAUUUUCACUGUAAGGUAGACAACUUUAAUGAUGCCUCUCUGGGUUUGAUCUUUUCUCUGUCUUUAGUGACAAAAUGUAUCCUGACUACACUGGACAUUUACCCAUAUUACGGAGACUUGAUUGGUUUUCUAUCUAGCUUACAGGAUCUGAUGUGAAGAGGAUGCAAAAAGUCUCAGUGGGCUUCCUGCCACUAUUUGACAAAGUUUCAUAAGAGAUGAUGCCUCUGGGACUAAAGGAGAUGAUUACCAACUAACAAAAUUCCAUUUUCAGGUAUUUGUUACCAUAUCUGAGUCACACUUUUUCUUUUUUUUUCUGUUUGUAUAAAAUUAUCCCAUCCUACACACUCAUUUGCCCUGGUAUAUGUGGUCAUAAUUUAUACUGCAGUAUUUUUGUUGCUAUUUUCAAUACUAUUUUUAUGCUUUAGUGAACCUCCUUUAAACUACUGAUCCAUUUUUAUGAUUUGGUGAUAUACUAUCAUAUAAUAGUAACAAUAAAAUGGAAAUAUAACACAUGAAAACAAUCACGUGUAAAAGGUGUGGAAAAUCUUUUAACCAAGUUGAACUAGAGUCAACAGCAUUCUCUUUACUAUGAACUGAGCUGAACUGACCAACUCACUUCUAGUGGUACAGAUGCUCCUACAAGACCAUGAUGAUGAUUAUAAAGAUAAUGAGAUUUCUGUGGAAAUGAUCACUGACCUCACAUUUAUGAAACGUAUGGGAACAAAGUUGCUUGUCUGUGUAGCAGACCCUGCCAUGCCCCACUCAUAUCCCCCUCACACAAUUCUCACAUGUGUUCAUGGUGAUUUCUGUAGGGCCAACAGGGAUGCCAUCCGAUGGAACUGGACCACAAUGUCCAGGGCCGCCUCCUGCAAGAGGAAAUUCAUUUCUGUACCAUCUACGGAGAUCUGCAGUGAACCAGGGCCCUAGGUUCAUUCAGGAGCGGAGGGGGCGGGAUCUUAAUGAAUCCAGUGAAUCUCUGCCCUCGCACGUGGAGUUGAUAGAUAUGACGUGAGAUGAUUUACUUACUGGAAAACACAAGUAUACCAAGGGCCACAAUAGUAACAUCUGAUGGUUUAAAAACAUGACUGCAAAUUCUUUCACACUUAUUACAAGAAGGAAUGUAAUACUUCUUGCCUCUAAUAUGGGCCAGUUUUAAUGACCUGUCAUGAGCAAACUGGAAGAAGUGAUACUGUACGAUUUCCAAGGUAAGUCAGUAGGUGACAGAGCUACCGUACGCGCAACUGUUAGGUCGAAGGACAUUUUCAUUUAAAAUUCUGAUCCUAUUGCCAGGUUGUUCUCCACUUCUCUCCCAUCCUUCCACCCCUCCCCCCACCAACAGUGGAUUUUUUUUGGCUCAGUAUACUGGUUUCAGUUGGCAUUUCUUUACUAUGGGAGAAGUGAAGCAUCUCUUUCCUUGGAACAUCUUCUGGGGUUAGAAGACCCAGUUGGAGACAAGCGCGGGACUCAGCGGAGCCAGGCGGCCCCGCCGACAACGCCCACGGCUCCACUCACUCCCCUGGCUCCUCUGUUUUCGGCGCUUUCCUUCCUCCCCCACAAUAUUCAGAUUCCUGGAACCAGGCUCGGUGACCUCACGCCGGUGACUUCACAUCCGGGACCUUCUGGGAAUUCUCAGCAGCACUUUUUCGUUAGAAAACUAACAGGGGAGGAGGAAGGGGGUGCGUCCGGGGCGGGACGCCGGAGCUCCUGGGGAAGCAGGGAGGGAGCCGCGCAAAGGCCUCUUCCUCCUUCCGGUCGGGGGUGGGUGGGGCUGGCCGCCGAGCUGCCGCCGGCGAGACCUGAGGCCCCGCCCCCUGCCUCUCUGCCUCCCCACGCCUCCCCCGCCCCGUCAGAUGGUCGCGCGCGCCUCCCACGGGAUGUGGAUCCCGGCGCCUGUCACUACAAGUUUGGGACCCGGGGCCCCAGGCUGAGCCUCUGCCAGUUUUCUUCCGAAGUUAGGUCAACGUCUUACUUGGCAGCUCUGCCACAGGUGCGGAGCGGGUCACUUCCUGGGGGAAAAACUUAUGCUGGAGAUACAAAAAGAAGCAAAGAAGAAGUGGUUGGCGCGGAGAUGAUAUUCCAGUGGAGGAAGACUUGGCUGUGGAGAUGGCACUUUCCAAAGACGAUCACAUAGUCUGUUACCUCUUCCUCAUCAAAAGGAACAACUUUGACUGCUGUUACCGUUUAUUUUUUCAUACCAAAGCCUCUUCAUUCAUGGUUCUGAAACGUGACCACGAGAAGUGUCUGGUUGUGGACCUUUUUUCAUUUAGUCAAGUUAGUUCUGGAGGAUGCUUUCCAUUGGAAGAGGGGUGUCUUCAGGCACCUCUGUUAAUUAACUCAGCCCCUCAUUUCAAGUUUGAACAGACAACAUUUUGCAGAUGUUUCUGCAAAAUCAACAGCAAAAUUAAGAAGGGCCAAGAUGAACAAACAAGGGGAAAAAAAUCCAGAUAUAAUUUAGGGAACUGAAAGUGCUGACUGGUCCCCUCUCAGGCCAUGUGCCUACUGAAACCCCAAGUGAAUGCUGGUCAGUGAUCAUCCUUCUUUUCUCUCUCCCACUCAUGCCCCUCUUCCCCUGGAUGAUGAUUUUUUGGUCUCUACCUCUCUUUUUGGACCUUGAGUUGGCCUCCCCCACCUUCCCCCUCAGCUGAUUACCUUGACUUACCCAAGAAUUAGAAGAUUUAGAUGAGAAUUCUCAGAAAUUCCCACCACCCAAACUACCCAGUUACCUGAACCAUUGCCUACACAUUCUGUCUUCCUUCCUAUUGUAUGUGGAGUAACUGUCCCUACUCUUAGCUAAGCCCAGCUCCUUCCCCUCGCUGUGUAGGUAACCUUGAAAAUCUUGUCUACACUGUUGCCCCCAUUUCUUUAUCUCCCAUCCUCUCUCUAUCACAGUUUUGCCCCCAUCAUUCUACCGAAACUAAUCUUGUCUUCAGGACUCAGUCCCUGAGCUUCUCUGUUUAAUCUGCACUCUUCAUGAACUUUUAUUUUUUUAGAGGCCAUCUGUAGACAAUAUACAAUAUCUACACCCCUAACUUCUCUCCUCUGAUUGCUAGAUGUGUGUAUUUAAAUGCCCAUCUAACAUCUCCUUUUGGGUGUCACAUAGACACCUCAUGCUUAGUGAGUCCAAAAUUGAGCUCCUGAUUCCCAUCCCUCCUCCAAAUGGCUCCUCCCAUAGUCUCCCUCCUUCCGCAGUAAAUGAUAAUUCAGAUCCUCUAGUAUUCCAAGGACACAAGAAUCCUCUUUUCCUCACGUGAUAGGUCUCAUACAUUCUAUAUUAUAUACCCAUUACCUAUCCAGAAUAUGACGUCUGAUAAUCACCUCCUCCUGGCUCUUGCUAUGUUUAUUUCACACCUGGGCUUGCUGGAAUAAGCUCCUAACUAGAAUAUCUGGCUUUCUUGGUACUUUCCCAGUUUUUGGCUUUCAGUUUUUGCAUUGAAAGUCCUGUCUCAGGAAGUUCCCCAGCCCUGGGGUAAACCAGGAUAGUUUUUCACCCUGCUUCUACCUAGGCUGUUUCUCCCACGGCCUCCCCACAGUGUAUUCCCAGUGGAUCCAGGGUGAUCCUUUGGAAAGGCAAAGUUUAUCACAUGACGUCUCUGCUCAGCACCCUUCAGUGGCUCCUCAUACUAUUCAGAAAAGCUAUUGCUUUCAAUGGCCUAUUGUUGGUAGGGUCCACCGGCUUUUGUGAACAGAAAUGGAGAGUUGAUUUUGAGCAGGCUGAUGUUGAGGUACCCAUGAAAUGCUCAAUUAACAAGGUCCAGCACUGAUGGAAGGAUUGAGAGCAUAUUUUGUUGGUAAAACAAGAACAGAUGGUUAUAGAAAAAGUUGCAGAAAAGAAUUCUAGGAAAUUACAAAUAUUAGUUAAAUUGAAAAAAAAUCUAUAAUAGGACUGAGAGAGAAAAUUGCAGAAUCUCUCUCUGGGGAUACUCAUGAUAAAUAAAAUUUGUUUAUAUAUUAUUUAAAAUAUAAAAAACAUAUAAAUAUGUAUUUGAAGCAGUUGUUCCAAACUCCCCAGAUCUUCUUUGUGUGUCUUUCCAAACCAAGGACAGUCCUCUGCAUAGCCAGCAUACAACCCUCCGGACCAGGAAAUCAGAAGUCAGCAUUGGUGUGACACUGAUAUCUGACUCAAAUGUUUCAGUCAAAUUUCACAAAUUAUCCCAACAAAGUCUCUUUUCUGUUUGGCCCGGGAUCACACUUUGCAUUUAAUAAUUGUGUCUCUUUAGUCUCCUUCAACCUGGAACAGAUGCUUAGUCUUUCCCUGUGUUCACAACUUUAUAGUUUGAAGGAGUACAAGCUUUUCAUUCUGUAGGCUAGAGCUCAGCCUGGUUUCAUCAGUGUUUCCUCAGGAUGGGACUCAGACCUGUGUCCUUGGGAGAAAUAUACAGAGAUGAUGCUGUCCUGUCCUCACUGCAUGGCAUCAGAAGGCUCAGGACGUUGGCCGGUCAUACUACUGGUAAUAUUAAUCUCCAUCUCUCGGUCAGUUUGGUGUGUUCAGGUUUCUCCAUGUUAAGUCAUUAUUUUCCUCUUCAUAAUUAAUAAUUAUUUUGUAGAAAGGUGCUCUCAAACUAUGACAAUAUCCUGCAUUUCAUUAAAAACCAUUCAUUUGAUUUGGUGUGUGUGUUAGUUGCUCAGUCGUGUCUGACUGUUUGAGACCCCAUGGAUUGUAGCCCACCAGGCUUCUCUGUCCAUGAAAUUCUCCAGGCAAGAAUCCUGGAGUGGGUUACCUUGUCCGUCUCCAGAGGAUCCUCCUGACCCAGGGAUCAAACCUGGGACUCCCACAUUGCAGGCAGAUUCUUUACCGCCUGAGCCACCAAGAAAGCCCAUUUGAAUUAGUGAACAUUGAUGAUUCUUGCCUAAAUUAACCACAAUUAUAGUGCUUACCAAAUGGCUAUUUUCUGUUACCGUCACUCCUGCUGUGUUUAUUAGUUGGCAUUCUACUAAUAAGGAGGAAGUGUCUUUUUUUCCUUCAUUUGUUUAUAUCAGUGUAGGCCCUGGAUUCCUAUUUUAUUCAGUGGAUUUAAUCCAUUAUUAUCAUUAUUUAUUUUUAUAUAAAAUCCUUCUAGAUUUGGCUAGCAGGAGAGCCUCACCAAAGUUGACUCCUGUUGUGGUGAAGGGAUAACUUGGGAAUUUGGGAUUAAUAGAUACGCACAACUAUAUAUAAAAUAGAGAAACACCAAAAACCUAUUGUAUAG